rnacentral:rRNA from 1 species
CGGCGGACGGGUGAGUAACGCGUGGGUAACCUGCCUCAUACAGGGGGAUAACAGUUAGAAAUGACUGCUAAUACCGCAUAAGACCACGGUACCGCAUGGUACAGUGGUAAAAACUCCGGUGGUAUGAGAUGGACCCGCGUCUGAUUAGGUAGUUGGCGGGGUAACGGCCCACCAAAGCGACGAUCAGUAGCCGGCCUGAGAGGGUGAACGGCCACAUUGGGACUGAGACACGGCCCAA